UUGCUAUUUGCUAUGAUCCAUAUAUCUUUUUUAACAACUUAACAUGGUGUACAUAUAUAUAUAUAUGGAGGUAAAAUUCCAACUCGAUCCAACUCUAAGCUAGCCAGCUAGUUUAUGAAUUACCACCUGCUAAGUAGGCCUAGCUAGAUAAUUACUUUAUUAAUCAAAAACUAAUAAUUGUUCCAAAUGGUUUCAACUUCAGAUAAGAAGCUCUCUGAAGUACUUGCUGCUUCUCCAAAGCUGCACGGUGAGUCUGUCAUCAUCAUCUUCAUCUUCAUCAUCAUGUUGUUGUUAGUAUGACUAUUAUUAUUAUUAUUAUUAUUAUUAUUAUUAUCCAUCUUUGUAAGAUGAUUUAAAACAGCAUCUAUUACCAUGUUAUCUUCACAACAAGUACUCCCAUUAAUAAGCUGAUCUCCAAAAGUAUUGGGUAUUGAUGAUGAAUUGGUGGUGGUGAAUUUGGAGGAAAUUAUGUUCAUCUGGUUAAUAGGGGGGUUGAAAAUGGAGAAGCAGGGCACUUGCUCAUAUAACGACGACUGAUGAUGAUGUGUUUGGUACUCAUUGUAUGGAGGAGGAGGAAGAAGAAGAGGAGGAUCAUCCAUUAAUGGAGGGAGAUUAUAAGUUGAUGAUGAGCUAAUAAUGCAUGUGUCCUGAUCGUACCCGUUAAUUCCACCUUGUUUGGAACCACCCGGACCAGUAUGAUGAUCAACUUCUUUGUUUUUGUAAAACACUCUACAUAUUACCCAAUCUUCCUGUUUAUAUUAAACACAACACAAUAACAACAAC
rnacentral:lncRNA from 1 species